rnacentral:misc_RNA from 1 species
GGGAUUCUCCUCCCCAUAUAGCAUGCGAACUGAUUGAGCAAUUGCAGAGACAGCAGGUGGUAAAUCUGGUUCAGGGAGUUUUGUUGGAAUAUUCACUGCUUCACGAAGCCAAUGUGGUAGCUUAUUCUUCAGUGAACUACACUCAACCACUUCCUUGCCCUUUGAUUGAGAAACUCUCUGACCUUUAUCGAGUACAGGAAGUGAUGGAUAAUUGCUAGAUUCACCACCUCCCGCAUUGUUAUGUGAAUCAUGUGAGAUAUUUAAAGACCUGUCAAGAAGGCUAGGUAAAUUAACAAAUCUGCUAGCACCAUCAUCAAUCUCCUUUUGCAAGGCAAACCUGUUCUGACAACCCAAGCCAAGAGGACCCAAGCUACUGCUGCCCGACGAAUUCAGCAGAAAUGGUGACUCCGUAACAAAGCUUGAUGGAGCUCCUAGUCUGUCUGAUGGUCCCGCAUUCAAAUCUCGAGGAAUGUUCAC